rnacentral:rRNA from 1 species
UACAGAGGUCCCAAGCGUUGUUCGGAUUCACUAGGCGUAAAGGGUGCGUAGGCGGUCGGGUAAGUCUGAUGUGAAAUCUCCAAGCUCAACUUGGAAAUGGCAUCGGAUACUAUUCGGCUCGAGGAAUGGAGGGGAGACUGGAAUACUUGGUGUAGCAGUGAAAUGCGUAGAUAUCAAGUGGAACACCAGUGGCGAAGGCGAGUCUCUGGACAUUUCCUGACGCUGAGGCACGAAAGCCAGGGGAGCAAACGGG